CGGAAGGCUGGCCAGGAGGAGGGAGGCUUUGGGGAAGGAGUCUCCAGAGGAGCACCAAGACAGGCAGGGGCUGUGUUGUGACAAUGAGAGGUGUGUGGAGGGAUGAAACGUUCUGACAAAUUGCCCUCAGCCCGGCCCUCAGAGCCCUCCGAACAGAGGUGAUGGUGAUGGCACCGUGGCACAGAGGAGAUGGCACCAAGGACAAGCCCUUGGCUUCAGCCUGGGGCUGCAGGGGACUGAUCUUACCCAUAGAGCCACCCCUCGGUGGGUGAGGGAACAUGAGCCAGUGGCAGCAGGACCCGAAGAUGUGUUUUCAGGGAGUGAAAUGUUUCUGGGAGUCAAAGGGCGCAGGGCUUUGGUG